rnacentral:lncRNA from 1 species
UUUUUUAGGAAUAAGUUAAGGUUCUCUCUACUUCUCUCCUUUUCUCUCGUGAAGAAAAUUGCAACAGCUUCUGUAACCUUCAAUCCUAACGUGGUUUUCUUCUUCUUUUUAAAUUGAAAUGUUUUAUGGAUUUUUGUUGCUUUGGUAAAUGAUUAUAAUUCUGAAUUCACCAUCAAAUUACAUGAAAUAAAAUUCAAUUUUAAAGAUGUCACAUUCCAGUCAUUUAAAUUCGUAAAUAAUUUUUUCUAUGCAAUCAUGUACUUGGUUUGAAAUGGGGUUUGUCCACACUUUUUUUUUAUCUGCUUUGAAUUUAAACCAUGUAAUUUAUUAUUGGGUUUUGUAUGGAUAAAUGAGUGUGCAGCUAGUGAUGGAAAAAGAUUAAUUUUUUCAGCGAAAAAAGCUCAAUUAGCAUGAACCCAUUCCUUGUAUCAGUAAGCUGGUCGGUAUAGUGGGAACAUCUUCAUUCUAUUGUUUUGCUGUUGUUUCUUGAUUGUAUAGUUUGUACUUGUGAUCUAGUAUGGCUUAUAAUGGUUUUCAUGGUUAGAUGUGUUGAUAAAGUUGAAUUCAUGGUUCCCCAUUCCGGCCGAUCCUCUUAAGUUGAAAAGAUCUGAAUUUUGUUAAUAUAGAUUAUCUGUUCAUCAUUGUUGAUUUCCAUUGUUUAUGGCUCGAAUUAUUGUGGUGUUGAUAUGGGGACUACGGACUACCUCUUGUCAAUGCAAGGCAGUUGAUGUAAUUACAGUUCAUGUGAGUAAUCUUUUAGUGUAAUUAGAUUUUUCGCAUAUAUUUCCCUUUCUAUAAUGUUGUCAAAUAUGAUAAUUUGUUGAACAUUCAGGAAAAUGUUGAGAUGCAUGGGAGAUCCAGAAACAGAGAUC